rnacentral:rRNA from 1 species
ACGGAAGGCAGCAGUGGGGAAUAUUGCACAAUGGGGGAAACCCUGAUGCAGCGACGCCGCGUGAGUGAUGAAGUAUUUCGGUAUGUAAAGCUCUAUCAGCAGGGAAGAUAAUGACGGUACCUGACUAAGAAGCCCCGGCUAACUACGUGCCAGCAGCCGCGGUAAUACGUAGGGAGCCAGCGUUAUCCCGAUUUACUGGGUGUAAAGGGAGUGUAGGUGGUUUGGCAAGUCAGAUGUGAAAGCCUGGGGCUCAACUCCGGGACUGCAUUUGAAACUGGCAGACUAGAGUGCAGGAGAGGAAGGUGGAAUUCCUAGUGUAGCGGUGAAAUGCGUAGAUAUUAGGAAGAACACCAGUGGCGAAGGCGGCUUUCUGGACUGUAACUGACGCUGAGGCACGAAAGCGUGGGGAGCAAACAGGAUUAGAUACCCUGGUA